GAUGAACGCUGGCGGCGUGCCUAAUACAUGCAAGUCGAGCGAACGGACGAGAAGCUUGCUUCUCUGAUGUUAGCGGCGGACGGGUGAGUAACACGUGGAUAACCUACCUAUAAGACUGGGAUAACUUCGGGAAACCGGAGCUAAUACCGGAUAAUAUUUUGAACCGCAUGGUUCAAAAGUGAAAGACGGUCUUGCUGUCACUUAUAGAUGGAUCCGCGCUGCAUUAGCUAGUUGGUAAGGUAACGGCUUACCAAGGCAACGAUGCAUAGCCGACCUGAGAGGGGGGUCGGCCACACUGGAACUGAGACACGGUCCAGACGCCUACGGGAGGCAGCAGUAGGGAAUCUUCCGCAAUGGGCGAAAGCCUGACGGAGCAACGCCGCGUGAGUGAUGAAGGUCUUCGGAUCGUAAAACUCUGUUAUUAGGGAAGAACAUAUGUGUAAGUAACUGUGCACAUCUUGACGGUACCUAAUCAGAAAGCCACGGCUAACUACGUG
rnacentral:rRNA from 1 species